rnacentral:tRNA from 1 species
GGUCCCGUAGCUCAGCAGGAUAGAGCGGCAGUUUCCUAAACUGUAGGUCACAGGUUCGAAUCCUGUCGGGAUCGCCA